GCUACAGAAGUUUAAACUUUUUGCUGGCAGAGAGCUAGAACUGUAGUAGUUUGUUUAAUGCCUAGUGAAGCCACUAACCUCAGCCAAAUGAAAGUAUAAGGAACAGCGAUCAGAAAAAUCUGGGCUGACAGCAGCUGCCAAUAAAGGCUGCCAAUUUAAUUGAUGCAAGUGGCUGCAGAAGCAACUGCACUGAUUCUAGAGAAACUAAAACCUGAAAACAUCAAGUACAGUCAAGUCAAGCAUCACCUACAAGAUGUAAUUGGAACAUGACUUAUAUUUUCAAACCCCUUUUAGCCUGCCCAAACAUCCUCUUGCUCUGAGGCAAUAUUACAGUUUGUUUCCUUAGGUGAUGCAUUAUUCAAUCAAGUAAAAGCAGAAGUAUUUAUUUGCGAUCCUGAUAGUCCAUACCCUAAUAAUCCUCCCCCCCCUCCCCCCAAAGAGUUCAAAGUUACUUAAAAGUUCAAAGUUCCCUUCAAGAUAUGCUCUGAACUCUGUCUUUUUGUUGUUCUUAGGGUCUGCUUGCUAUCUUUAGAAUAUCUCUAUCCAAGCUAGAGGAAUAAGGACAAAUCUGACAUCACAGACCAGACCACAGGAGGUGCUUGAGGCCUCUCUGAUCUUCUGACGCUAGCCAACACUGAAGAACUGUACACAACAGAACGCAAAGGUUGUACGGAAUACAGAACUACAGAACAGAGCUCUUGAGCUCAUCCUCCACAGCGUACAUAUUUCCCUUGCCUAUACGUGCUACUGCGACGAAGCACACCUCCUUUUUCAUAAUACCAGGCCUUUAUAGAUCAAUUCACAAAGUUAGCAGCUGGGAAGUAGAAGAUAUCAAAGGCAUAGAAAAUAUCUAGAUAACAGAAGAGUAUAUCUACUCAGCUUCAAAAAGGUACUUUUCUCUAUGCUCCCUCACUUUCUUUUCCUUCUACUCUUUCCCAUUUUAUUGCCAAUAUUUGAGUUACUAUGCUUGUGUUAGAAAAUAGAAGAAGUAAUAUGCUUUAUAAUUAAGGCCUAUGAUCUCAAUAGGAA
rnacentral:lncRNA from 1 species